rnacentral:rRNA from 1 species
GUAGUCCACGCCGUAAACGAUGAGCACUAGGUGUCGGGAUCGCAAGAUUUCGGUGCCGCAGUUAACGCAUUAAGUGCUCCGCCUGGGGAGUACGUGCGCAAGCAUGAAACUCAAAGGAAUUGACGGGGACCCGCACAAGCAGCGGAGCAUGUGGUUUAAUUCGAAGCAACGCGAAGAACCUUACCAGGGCUUGACAUCCUCUUGACCGGUCCUUAAACGGACCUUUCUUCGGACAAGAGUGACAGGUGGUGCAUGGUUGUCGUCAGCUCGUGUCGUGAGAUGUUGGGUUAAGUCCCGCAACGAGCGCAACCCUUGUCAUUAGUUGCCAUCAUUAAGUUGGGCACUCUAAUGAGACUGCCGGGGACAACUCGGA